GACGAACGCUGGCGGCGUGCCUAAUACAUGCAAGUCGAGCGAAUGGAUUAAGAGCUUGCUCUUAUGAAGUUAGCGGCGGACGGGUGAGUAACACGUGGGUAACCUGCCCAUAAGACUGGGAUAACUCCGGGAAACCGGGGCUAAUACCGGAUAACAUUUUGAACCGCAUGGUUCGAAAUUGAAAGGCGGCUUCGGCUGUCACUUAUGGAUGGACCCGCGUCGCAUUAGCUAGUUGGUGAGGUAACGGCUCACCAAGGCAACGAUGCGUAGCCGACCUGAGAGGGUGAUCGGCCACACUGGGACUGAGACACGGCCCAGACUCCUACGGGAGGCAGCGGUAGGGAAUCUUCCGCAAUGGACGAAAGUCUGACGGAGCAACGCCGCGUGAGUGAUGAAGGCUUUCGGGUCGUAAAACUCUGUUGUUAGGGAAGAACAAGUGCUAGUUGAAUAAGCUGGCACCUUGACGGUACCUGACCAGAAAGCCACGGCUAACUACGUGCCAGCAGCCGCCGUAA
rnacentral:rRNA from 1 species